rnacentral:rRNA from 1 species
GGCUUUGGAAGAACCGCUCACCGAAAGGGACGGAGGGAAUGGCCUUCGUCCGCGCGAGGAUGGGGCUGCGUCCCAUCAGGCAGUUGGUGGGGUAAUGGCCCACCAAACCUAUAACGGGUACGGGCCGUGAGAGAGGGAGCCCGGAGAUGGGUUCUGAGACACGAACCCAGGCCCUACGGGGCGCAGCAGGCGCGAAACCUUCGCACUGCGCGAAAGCGCGACGAGGGGAGCCCGAGUGCCUCUCCAUUUCGGGGAGGCUUUUCACAAGCCUAAAAAGCUUGUGGAAUAAGGGCUGGGCAAGACGGGUGCCAGCCGCCGCGGUAAUACCCGCAGCUCGAGUGGUGGUCGCUUUUAUUGAGCCUAAAACGUUCGUAGUCGGCCUUGUAAAUCCCUGGGUAAAUCGGACCGCUUAACGGUUCGAAUUCCGGGGAGACUGCAAGGCUAGGGACCGGGCGAGGUCAGAGGUACUUUCGGGGUAGGAGUGAAAUCCUGUAAUCCCGAAGGGACCACCUGUGGCGAAAGCGUCUGACUUGAACGGCUCCGACGAUGAGGAACGAAGGCUAGGGGAGCAAACCGGAUUAGAUACCCGGGUAGUCCUAGCUGUAAACUCUGCCCGCUUGGUGUGGCCUGUCCUUCGGGGGCAGGCUGUGCCGGAGCGAAGGUGUUAAGCGGGCUGCUUGGGGAGUACGGCCGCAAGGUUGAAACUUAAAGGAAUUGGCGGGGGAGCACCGCAACGGGAGGAUGCGUGCGGUUUAAUGGAUCAACGCCGG